rnacentral:rRNA from 1 species
UACAGAGGUCCCGAGCGUUGUUCGGAUUCACUGGGCGUAAAGGGUGCGUAGGUGGCGAGGUAAGUCGGAUGUGAAAGCUCGGAGCUCAACUCCGAAAUGGCAUUGGAAACUACCUUGCUCGAGGGUUGGAGGGGGGAUUGGAAUACUUGGUGUAGCAGUGAAAUGCGUAGAUAUCAAGUGGAACACCAGUGGCGAAGGCGGGUCCCUGGACAACUCCUGACACUGAGGCACGAAAGCUAGGGGAGCAAACAGG